UUUAACCCGGAAACAGUUCUUGAAGCUGCUUGUUUUUUAUCGCGGUGGACCGAUUUUUCAUUAAUUUGUCGACUCAUUCACAACGAAAACAUUUUUUCUUCUUUUUGUUGUCUCUUUUAUUCCGACAUUGUGUAUUUUUCAAGUAAAACCCCACUGUGUGCCAUUUAAUCUUGUCAAACACAUGACCGCUGGCGCCCACGUUGCUACAAUGUCAACGGAGCCGGAGGUCGCCGGUUCGAAAUCCAGUCAAUUGUUAAAGAACUGUUGGAGCUGCAGGAUCAUCUCCGGUGGAGGACUGUGUCUGUCCGGAGCUUACGUCUUCAACGCUGCGCGGAAGGUGAUGCGGCAGGGCGCUCCCACCUCCAUGGGCACUGUGGCGCAGAUUACAUUCGCUUUGUGUUUGGCUUCUUGGGGGAUCGUUAUCCUGGCUGACCCAGUAGGAAAGGCGCAAAGGAAGACAUGAACUGUACGGCAUCCGUUAGAGGACAUUUGCAAAUUUCAAAGUGUCUUUUGGACUGACUGUGGCUGCAGAUGAACGAGUCAGGGAUCUUUUCCCUUUAAGCUCCAGUGUGUCAACAUCUACUCUAAUAUGAUCAAAUAUAAAUUCAACCAUGAACUAAAA